UACAGAGGGUGCGAGCGUUAAUCGGAAUUACUGGGCGUAAAGCGUGCGUAGACGGUUAUUUAAGUCGGGUGUGAAAGCCCCGGGCUCAACCUGGGAAUUGCAUUCGAGACUGAAUAGCUAGGGUACGGUAGAGGGAAGUGGAAUUUCGGGUGUAGCGGUGAAAUGCGUAGAUAUCCGAAGGAACAUCAGUGGCGAAAAGCGGCUUCCUGGACCAGAACUGACGAAUCAGGC
rnacentral:rRNA from 1 species